CACAAUAUGAGUUUGAUUCCCAAAUGCAAAUGGCUUCCACCUCCUCCACCGAUGAAGCAAUAACAAUGGCGCUGCCAAAAUGACUGGGACACCUAAGGAGAGCUCUGAGUGAUUCACGCAAGUUCACAAAAAGGGGCUCUAGAUCACAGGCUGUGCUGAUGUUGUAAGGGACACACGAAGGACAGAUGUGACCAGUGUUCCUGACAAACCCACAACCUGCCUCGGAGGAGGAAGUCAUAAAUCUUGCCUAAUAUCUCAGACAAAACAGAGCAAGUCUCAAAGACGGAAUGACUAAGGGUUAAGAUGGAGGAGGUGAGAACAACUGAACUUUUAAUGUGGGAGAUAAGUGCUAGUAUGCUCUGUGUGUAGAGGCUGAAAUCACUUAGGAAAAUAACUGGCUACAAAUCUACAAAGUAAUUCUGCCCAAG
rnacentral:lncRNA from 1 species